rnacentral:rRNA from 1 species
CCUACGGGGGGCAGCAGUGGGGGAUAUUGCACAAUGGGGGAAACCCUGAUGCAGCGACGCCGCGUGGGUGAAGAAGUAUUUCGGUAUGUAAAGCCCUAUCAGCAGGGAAGAAAGAAGACGGUACCUGACUACGAAGCCCCGGCUAACUACGUGCCAGCAGCCGCGGUAAUACGUAGGGGGCGAGCGUUAUCCGGAUUCACUGGGUGUAAAGGGAGCGUAGGCGGCCGUGCAAGCCAGGAGUGAAAGCCCGGGGCCCAACCCCGGGACUGCUCUUGGAACUGGGCGGCUGGAGUGCGGGAGGGGCAGGCGGAAUUCCUGGUGUAGCGGUGAAAUGCGUAGAUAUCGGGAGGAACACCGGCGGCGAAGGCGGCCUGCUGGACCGCGACUGACGUUGAGGCUCGAAAGCGUGGGGAGCGAACAGGAUUAGAUACCCGUGUAGUC